GGGAUGUGGGUCCAAGGCGUCCCUGUGGUGAACAGCUCAGAUUCGGUGUCUGCGGUUCCAGUGCACAUCCUGCCAAGUUCGUGGGAGGAAUUGCCACCCGUUCCUGAGUGGAGACACUGCAAGGACCGGAGAAACAGCAACGGCCAAAGGAAGUUACCUCGAGGAAAAAGGUAAAGCUCCACAGGGCAUUUGUGGGAGCAGAGGGGUUUGAUCAGCCCCCACCAGUAGGGCAAUAAAGGUGCCACUGGUUUUGGUUCCACCCAGUAGGAGCAGUAAAGGUGCUGCUGGGCCCCAGUCGAAGCCGUGAAGUGCGGCCGGUUGGUUUUUGGUAAAAGGGGGAUUGGGGAAGGUGCAUGGGUUUCUGAAUGUGCGUGUGGGGACACUCUAGUGAAUGUUUUGAGUGUGUGAGACGUUGGGGGUGCAGCGCCACCGGCGAAGUGGUGUGUGGUCUUUGGCAAGUCCGUACAGGCCACUAAUAAGACUCAAAAAAAGGUGACUGAGUGAGAAAUAACGCUAGGAGGAUGGAGGGUCCCAUGGUCAAGGGGAAUAAAAGCAGUAAAACAACUCCCACGACCCCAUUACAGUGCUUCCUGGAAAAAAUUGGAAAGACGCCACAAAAAUAGAGGAGUGGGGAUUUAAAAACUGAAGAAAAAUAGACUCCAACACUUAUGUGAAGUUGCCUGACCAUCCCCAUGGCUUCGGAAAAGUAGAACUGUGUUUACCCAAGCCAAACUGCAGAGGAGGGAGGAAUAAUUAGCCCCCCUCCACCCUAUGCAGCAGCUGCACCAAGGCUACCAGAUCUGGGAACAAAUAGGGCUCCGAGGGCUGCUUCUCCGCCCCGUGUCCAGGCUAAGGAUCCAAAUGAGAUUCCCUCCCUGCCCGCUGCCCCUCCACAACCCCCAAGCAAAAAGACUGUUGCAGCAAAGGCAAGUGAACAGACUGUUUCUCAAUUCAUGCAAGUAACAGGACAUCAGCUUUUUUUUUACUUGUGCCAGGCACUCGCAAUAGCUUCAGGGGGGAAAAAUGGGAUGUGAGGCAUGUUUACCUCUUGGCUGAUAUCAGAAGGACACUGCUGCAUUCUCGCCAACCAGCUACUCUGACCUGCUACUGCCUGGAGCCAAUUAGGAUUUACAGUCAAGCAACAUAAACCCAGAAGGCCAAAGGUUACCCACCCCCUGCCCCAAGUACUAACCUGGAAAGUGACUUUCUUAAAAUCAAGUGAAUGCUUUCUGUAAACUUUGUCAAAAGUUUUUCUUUUUAAGAUGCUAUUUUACUCUGAAGAAGGAGCCCCAGCAUAACAUAGGAUUUUUGAAACUUUGCCAGUGUGAAGGAACACAUUGUUCUUCCUACAGACACUAGCAGAUGAACUGAAAUUUGCAACAUGGCUUACAGGCCACAAAAGCUCUGAAAAAAUAGAGCACAGGAAAAAAGACUUUUAAAAAUCUCAGCUUACCCCUUGCGAAGUUUCCUGCCAAGCAUACCCUUUUGAGUUAAUAUACCUUAUGUGCGAAUGUUAUCUAUCAAAUGUGCAGUCGCUCUACCGUGUUUUUUCCUCUUCUUUUAACAGGUGAGCCUUUGCUUGAACACCUUGUGCCUUAGACGAGCCUCUGCAUCCCUAUGAACCAGGUGAUGAGGACCCAGAUUGGACCCAGACGCCGCUCCAGCCUUGUUGGAAGAGACCCAAGACGUCCACCGCCCGCGAAACUACCGCCCUGCUGACGUCACUCCUGGACGCUGACGUUUUGCACGGCUGGAGAAUCCAGCAUGGAUUGAAAGAGGACAUUUUCUCAUUUUCUUUUCUUUCCCUUUGCAUAUUCAGUUUUAUUGAAGGUACGCCACCCCUGCAGAGGAGGGUGCUUUUGUGGGUCUUUCAUUCAGGGUACUUAAACCCCAGCCCACUUCAUUAUCUUGCCACCUGGCAGAGCUCCACCCAGAGCCUCCAGAACUUACCUAAAGCCCCCUUUGAACCACAAAUAAAAUGUGGGUGCAAAUGGCAGAAAUGGUGGCUUAUUCUGCAAAUUGAACCAAUUGCACCGUCUGCACUCUGGCACCUGUAGAUGCUCUGGGGGAGUGCACCUCCUCCCUGUGCCUUGGAAUGAAUCAUCAGUUACAGUCCCGAUCAUUCCAUCCCUUUCCAGGGGGAUGCAAUCCCGCUGCAAUCGUACCUUCCCAGCCCAAACCGUUACACCUGAGUCCACGCCAGGAACUUAUCUUUUGGCUGCAAUCUGACUGCAUGCCUGACACGCUUGGUGUGGGCUUCAGAAGGGAGAGGUAGUGUAUCUGCUCAAGAACAUGAUGUAUAUUGGGUAUGUAGCAGGCAUGGGGUUUGCUUCCUGACCCGAUAACCUCUGCACCCUGUCGAAGAACAGGCAUUCGGCUGAUCUAGCAACAAUUGCAGGAGGCAGCUCCCAAAAUUGGGGCAAGCAUCAGUCGCCUCAAGAAAGGAUAGUGGCCCAUUUGGGACGAGCCUGGCAGCUGUCCAAAUUAAGAGGGGGGGAAUGAAGGAGGUGAGGACAGGUGCCCCACCUAGGCCCGAAGUCACCCCCGGCCAAAGCAGGCUCAAAGCUUUUCAAAAUCAUUUUCUCAGCAGCUAAAAGCCAUUAGCUAAGCAUCUUAGCUGAAUAGAACAAUGCUUUUCCAUUUCUCAGGCUAGUUGACCUCGCUAAAAGAACAGAACUGAAUCUUAUCUCAUUUGGUUGUAACACAUCUGAACACGCUGAACGCAAGGCUUCUCUACCCCCUUUCCUGGGAAGAGUCCAAAAGAGUCCCAAGACAGGAGCUUUCUGUUCAUGCUCAGGGGAACUCAUGGGGGAGGACUCUUGAGGAGGAGGAGGAGGAGAAAGGGGAGGGAACUGGAAGGGGAAUAUAUGCUCUGUGCAAAUGAUUGUCAACCCGUGCUUGUUUAUGAGUUAUCACACUUGCUCCUUCUACCAGUUCAUGGAUGGUAGAAAUAAAGCUUUUUCUCUGAAA